CCUGGCUCACGAUGAACGCUAGCUACAGGCUUAACACAUGCAAGUCGAGGCUGUAUCAGGAAGAAAGCUUGCUUUCUUUGCUGGCGACCGGCGCACGGGUGAGUAACACGUAUCCAACCUGCCCUUUACUCGGGGAUAGCCUUUCGAAAGAAAGAUUAAUACCCGAUAGCAUAAUGAUUCCGCAUGGUUUCAUUAUUAAAGGAUUCCGGUAAAGGAUGGGGAUGCGUUCCAUUAGGUUGUUGGUGAGGUAACGGCUCACCAAGCCUUCGAUGGAUAGGGGUUCUGAGAGGAAGGUCCCCCACAUUGGAACUGAGACACGGUCCAAACUCCUACGGGAGGCAGCAGUGAGGAAUAUUGGUCAAUGGGCGCGAGCCUGAACCAGCCAAGUAGCGUGAAGGAUGACUGCCCUAUGGGUUGUAAACUUCUUUUAUAUUAGAAUAAAGUGCAGUAUGUAUACUGUUUUGUAUGUAUAAUAUGAAUAAGGAUCGGCUAACUCCGUGCCAGCAGCCGCGGUAAUACGGAGGAUCCGAGCGUUAUCCGGAUUUAUUGGGUUUAAAGGGAGCGUAGGUGGACUGGUAAGUCAGUUGUGAAAGUUUGCGGCUCAACCGUAAAAUUGCAGUUGAUACUGUCAGUCUUGAGUACAGUAGAGGUGGGCGGAAUUCGUGGUGUAGCGGUGAAAUGCUUAGAUAUCACGAAGAACUCCGAUUGCGAAGGCAGCUCACUGGACUGCAACUGACACUGAUGCUCGAAAGUGUGGGUAUCAAACAGGAUUAGAUACCCUGGUAGUCCACACAGUAAACGAUGAAUACUCGCUGUUUGCGAUAUACAGUAAGCGGCCAAGCGAAAGCAUUAAGUAUUCCACCUGGGGAGUACGCCGGCAACGGUGAAACUCAAAGGAAUUGAUGGGGGCCCGCACAAGCGGAGGAACAUGUGGUUUAAUUCGAUGAUACGCGAGGAACCUUACCCGGGCUUAAAUUGCAGUGGAAUGAUGUGGAAACAUGUCAGUGAGCAAUCACCGCUGUGAAGGUGCUGCAUGGUUGUCGUCAGCUCGUGCCGUGAGGUGUCGGCUUAAGUGCCAUAACGAGCGCAACCCUUAUCUUUAGUUACUAACAGGUCAUGCUGAGGACUCUAGAGAGACUGCCGUCGUAAGAUGUGAGGAAGGUGGGGAUGACGUCAAAUCAGCACGGCCCUUACGUCCGGGGCUACACACGUGUUACAAUGGGGGGUACAGAAGGCAGCUACCUGGUGACAGGAUGCUAAUCCCAAAAGCCUCUCUCAGUUCGGAUCGAAGUCUGCAACCCGACUUCGUGAAGCUGGAUUCGCUAGUAAUCGCGCAUCAGCCACGGCGCGGUGAAUACGUUCCCGGGCCUUGUACACACCGCCC
rnacentral:rRNA from 1 species